CAUGAAGCUGGAAUCGCUAGUAAUCGCGGAUCAGAAUGCCGCGGUGAAUACGUUCCCGGGUCUUGUACACACCGCCCGUCACACCAUGGGAGCCGGUAACGCCCGAAGUCAGUGGCCCAACCGAGAGGGGGGAGCUGCCGAAGGCGGGACUGGUAACUGGGGUGAAGUCGUAACAAGGUAGC
rnacentral:rRNA from 1 species